rnacentral:rRNA from 1 species
AGCGGCGGAUGGGUGAGUAACACGUGGGGAACCUGCCCCUAAGUCUGGGAUACCAUUUGGAAACAGGUGCUAAUACCGGAUAAUAAAGCAGAUCGCAUGAUCAGCUUUUGAAAGGCGGCGUAAGCUGUCGCUAAGGGAUGGCCCCGCGGUGCAUUAGCUAGUUGGUAAGGUAACGGCUUACCAAGGCGACGAUGCAUAGCCGAGUUGAGAGACUGAUCGGCCACAUUGGGACUGAGACACGGCCCAAACUCCUACGGGAGGCAGCAGUAGGGAAUCUUCCACAAUGGACGCAAGUCUGAUGGAGCAACGCCGCGUGAGUGAAGAAGGUUUUCGGAUCGUAGAGCUCUGUUGUUGGUGAAGAAGGAUAGAGGUAGUAACUGGCCUUUAUUUGACGGUAAUCAACCAGAAAGUCACGGCUAACUACGUGCCAGCAGCCGCGGUAAUACGUAGAUGGCAAGCGUUGUCCGGAUUUAUUGGGCGUAAAGCGAGCGCAGGCGGAAAAAUAAGUCUAAUGUGAAAGCCCUCGGCUUAACCGAGGAACUGCAUCGGAAACUGUUUUUCUUGAGUGCAGAAGAGGAGAGUGGAACUCCAUGUGUAGCGGUGGAAUGCGUAGAUAUAUGGAAGAACACCAGUGGCGAAGGCGGCUCUCUGGUCUGCAACUGACGCUGAGGCUCGAAAGCAUGGGUAGCGAACAGGAUUAGAUACCCUGGUAGUCCAUGCCGUAAACGAUGAGUGCUAAGUGU